rnacentral:lncRNA from 1 species
AGUGGGAACGUUAUUGUGUUGUACGUAACAUGAUUGACUGAAUAAUCUAUUUUGAAAGCAUUUUAGAAUUUGGCUAACUUUUUGUUUUUACAAUUGAAGGCUUGGGCGGUGGAGAGACUGUCUUUGGACCGUCAGACUACUCACAGGAGGUUCCCCCACAUAUGGCGUUGGUACCCUUAUAUCGAAAAGAAGGAAACAAUUAAAAAUCUAUUUAAGACCGGAGAUGUAAGUGUUUGAAAGUUUGUCGAAAUUAUUUCCUGCAUAUAUUUCACUAAUGUUGUUUUAUGUGUUUGUUACAGUUAAAUCUUGAUUGGUACGUAAGUAAAGUGGAUCGUAA